rnacentral:rRNA from 1 species
UACGGAGGGUGCAAGCGUUAUCCGGAUUCACUGGGUUUAAAGGGUGCGUAGGUGGGCAGGUAAGUCAGUGGUGAAAUCUCCGAGCUUAACUCGGAAACUGCCGUUGAUACUAUUUGUCUUGAAUAUUGUGGAGGUAAGCGGAAUAUGUCAUGUAGCGGUGAAAUGCUUAGAUAUGACAUAGAACACCAAUUGCGAAGGCAGCUUACUACACAACGAUUGACGCUGAGGCACGAAAGCGUGGGGGAUCAAAACAGG